rnacentral:sRNA from 1 species
CUCAAGGGCAUCCCAGUACUGGUGGGAUUGUUAGACCAUCCCAAAAAGGAAGUGCACCUUGGAGCCUGUGGAGCUCUCAAGAAUAUCUCUUUUGGACGUGACCAGGAUAACAAGAUUGCCAUAAAAAACUGUGAUGGUGUGCCUGCCCUUGUGCGAUUGCUUCGAAAGGCUCGUGAUAUGGACCUUACUGAAGUUAUUACCGGAACCCUGUGGAAUCUUUCAUCCCAUGACUCAAUCAAAAUGGAGAUUGUGGACCAUGCACUGCAUGCCUUGACAGAUGAAGUGAUCAUUCCUCAUUCUGGUUGGGAGCGGGAACCUAAUGAAGACUGUAAGCCACGCCAUAUUGAGUGGGAAUCGGUGCUCACCAACACAGCUGGCUGCCUUAGGUAACAGUAGGGACUUUGAGAAUAUGAAGAUGAAUUUUUGAGGACUGACUUAAAUUUCCUAAAAAAAAAAAAAAUUAAAAUUCUUUAGCCUAUUCUUUAGCCUCCAUUCCUAUCUGUAUUGCAUACUGUAACUCCAACCUGUCUUUCUUUGUUGCUAUUCUCUCAUGUAUACCACAUGUACCUAU